GGCAAACGCUGGCGGCGUGCCUAAAACAUGCAAGUCGAACGCACAUCCUUGUGGUGUGAGUGGCAGACGGCUGAGUAACGCGUGGGUGACGUACCCGAUGGUGGGGAAUAACUGCCCGAA
rnacentral:rRNA from 1 species